rnacentral:rRNA from 1 species
GUCGUAACAAGGUUUCCGUAGGUGAACCUGCGGAAGGAUCAUUACGGUGCAUCCGACCCACACGUGAACUGUUGAAAGGUGACAUGGUGUUUGGUUUCACGAUCAAGACCGGUCACCGCCCCUUCUUCCACACACACGAACAAUCGAGCUGAAGCGAUGGGGUAGCGGGCUUUUACAGACCGCUGCCUUUAACCGUGACAACUCUCAACAACGGAUGUCUUGGCUCUCGCAACGAUGAAGAACGCAGCGAAAUGCGAUACGUAGUGUGAUUUGCACUGUACGUGAACCAUCGAAUCUUUGAACGCAUAUUGCACUCGAGGCUUCGGCCAAGAGUAUGCCUGCCUGAGCGUCAGUGUGUACCCUCAUACCAAUUAAUUUUGGGAUGGAAAUGGACGUCCGAUCGGAGCCUGCGAAGGUUUCGAUGGGUCGGCUGAAAGGCAGUCGCGGUGCGACCGAUCGCACGAUCAGCGUGGUAGACCUAUUCAUAGGACGGAUCGCUCGGUCAGAUCGGUAACACUUCGAUCCGAAUACUGGUGCGUGUCUCGACUCCGCGGGCCCUUGCGGCUGGUGGAAUAAGAGCCGUGCCAUCUCACCUUUUGACCUCAGUUCAGACAAGGCUACCCGCCGAAUUUAAGCAUAUUACUAAGCGGAGGAAAAGAAAAUAACAAUGAUUCCCCUAGUAACGGCGAGCGAACCGGGAAGAGCCCAACUUGAAAAUCUGGAGGCUUGUCCUUCCGAAUUGUAGUCUAGAGAAGUGCCAUCUGCGGCUGGCUGGUCGAAAGUUCCCUGGAAAGGGACGUCAGAGAGGGUGAGAGCCCCGUCACGAUCGGUUAAGUCGCUCCACGAUGCGCUUUCGAGGAGUCGGGUUGUUUGGGAAUGCAGCCCUAAGCGGGAGGUAAAUUCCUUCUAAGGCUAAAUAUUGGCGAGAGACCGAUAGCGAACAAGUACCGCGAGGGAAAGAUGAAAAGACCUUUGAAAAGAGAGUUAAAAAGUACCUGAAAUUGUUGAGGGGAAAGCGAUUGAAACCAGCGGGUGCUCCUCGGGUAGGGUCAAACCACACGCCGAGGGCUGGUCAACGUGGGUUAGUCGGGCGGGAUAUUACGCUUGAUUGACCGAGGACUCGACGUUGGCGGAAUGGUUUCAAUCGGCCCGUCUAGAAACACGGACCAAGGAGUCUAACAUGUGUGCGAGUCGGUGGGUGACAAACCCACGAGGCGCAAGUAACCUGACUGAGCAAAUUCGACCGACCAUGAUCUUCUGUGAAAGGUUUGAGUGCGAGCGUACAUGCUGGGACCCGAAAGAUGGUGAACUAUGCGUGA